rnacentral:tRNA from 1 species
GGGGAUGUGGCUCAAGUGGUAGAGCGCUUGCCUAGCAUGCAUGAGGCACUGGGUUCGUUUCCCAGCACCA